rnacentral:rRNA from 1 species
AGAUUGAACGCUGGCGGCGUGCCUAACACAUGCAAGUCGAGCGGUAACAGGUGUAGCAAUACAUGCUGACGAGCGGCGAACGGGUGAGUAAUGCUUUGGAAUCUUCCCAGUAGUGGGGAAUAACCAGUCGAAAGAUUGGCUAAUACCGCAUACGUCUGUAAAGGGAAAGCGGGGGCUCGUAAGACCUCGCGCUAUUGGAUGAGCCAAAGUCGGAUUAGCUAGUUGGUGGGGUAACGGCCUACCAAGGCGACAAUCCGUAGCUGGUCUGAGAGGACGACCAGCCACACCGGAACUGAGACACGGUCCGGACUCCUACGGGAGGCAGCAGUGGGGAAUAUUGGACAAUGGGGGAAACCCUGAUCCAGCGACGCCGCGUGUGUGAAGAAGGCCUGCGGGUUGUAAAGCACUUUUAGUGGGGACAAAAAGCUACGGAUUAAUACUCUGUGGUCUUGAUUUAACCCAAAGAAAAGCACCGGCUAACUCUGUGCCAGCAGCCGCGGU